GGAGGGAUGGCCGAGUGGUUUAAGGCGGCGGUCUUGAAAACCGUUGUAGACGUGAGCCUACCGGGGGUUCGAAUCCCUCUCCCUCCGCCA
rnacentral:tRNA from 1 species